CUGGGUGUAGCUCAGUGGCAAAGCACUUGCCUAAGUGCUUUGUCCUGGGUUCAAUCCCCAGUACCAAGA
rnacentral:tRNA from 1 species